UGGAAGUUAGUCCCUACUCCAGCGGUCCAGCCACGGUCGCCAUGCCCAGCCGCCUCCGCGCGCCCGCCCGUCGCCGUCGCCCGCCACGGCCGCCUCCGCACGCUCGCCCGUCGCCGUCGCCGUCGCCCGCCACGCCAGGCCGCCUCUGCGCGCUUGCCCGUCGCCGUAGCCCGCCACGCCAGUCCGCCCUCCGCGGCUGCGCCGCGCCCCUCCCCGGGCUGGCGUGCCAGCGCCGUCUCGAUGUCCUCCUCCCGAGCUGCCUCGGCCGCCUCUUCCUACCGGCGGCGCGUCAACCUCCUUCUCCCGGCGCGUCCUCAGCCUCCUAGCGUAAGAUGGAUCAUGCUCUGUUUCCUUCUUCUGGUUCUUUAGCAUUUUGGCUCAGCCGUUCUGUUUUACUAGUACAGUAGUAGUUAGCAUUCACAUUCCGGUCAGAUUCAGAUCUUGAUGAUUGCUUAUGUCCCUCGCUCGAGUCGACAUGUGGCUCACUUCAAUUUUUACCACCAUUGAAAGGCGAUUACGUUUUUGUCUCGGCUGCAUCAGGUGCCGUUGGGCAGCUUGUUGGGCAGCUUGCUAAGCUCACGGGCUGUUAUGUGGUUGGCAGUGCUGGUUCUGAUGAGAAGGUUAACCUUCUGAAAACCAAGUUUGGCUUCCACGAAGCAUUCAACUACAAGAAAGAGCAGGACCUUGAUGCGGCUUUGAGGAGAUAUGCUGACAGGUCAGACGAUGAGUGUGAGGAGCCCGACGAUUUUAACUACCAUCAAGAGCCGAACGGUAUCCGUGUGUUGAAGCCCAAGGACUUUGAGCAUCGUGAUCCUCUUCUUCUAAAUGACUUCCUCAAGAUACACGAAGAAAUUGAGGACAGGUCGUCACAUGAGCGACUUCGUGAUGAUCUAGUAGAGCAUCUAUGGGCAAGAUAUAGUGCUAGGUAGUUUCUAUGGGCAAGUUAUAGUGCUUGUAGUUCCCAUGUAAUUUAUAACUUAAUGUGUUGGGUGCUAGGUGUGUGAGUUGUCAGCUACACUGAUUCAUCAUUUGAUUACAGUUGUUCCUUGUGAAUUCGAUCAAUAUCAUUUCAAUUGAUAUUAGCAACAUCUCCUGUUUGGGUACUAUCAUUUGAUCUGCAACAUCUCCUGUUUCCCUGAAUUAAAAAGACAAGAGACAGUUAUCAUAUCAUUUCAGAGAUA